GACGAACGCUGGCGGCGUGCCUAACACAUGCAAGUCGAGCGAUGAAGUUUCCUUCGGGAAACGGAUUAGCGGCGGACGGGUGAGUAACACGUGAGCAACCUGCCUUGUAGAGGGGGAUAGCCUUCCGAAAGGAAGAUUAAUACCGCAUAAUAUGUUUUGAUCGCAUGAUCUUAACAUCAAAGUUUUUCGCUACAAGAUGGGCUCGCGGAGCAUUAGCUAGUUGGUGGUGUAAUGGACCACCAAGGCGACGAUGCUUAGCCGACCUGAGAGGGUGAUCGGCCACAUUGGGACUGAGACACGGCCCAGACUCCUACGGGAGGCAGCAGUGGGGAAUAUUGCGCAAUGGACGAAAGUCUGACGCAGCAACGCCGCGUGAGUGAUGAAGGCCUUCGGGUUGUAAAACUCUGUCUUCAGGGACGAUAAUGACGGUACCUGAGGAGGAAGCCACGGCUAACUACG
rnacentral:rRNA from 1 species